rnacentral:lncRNA from 1 species
AGAGGACGAGGCGGUGCGGCGGGCUUGCGUGGAGGAGGUGCAGAGGGUGGCGUCGGACUGGGGGGUGAUGCACAUCGUCAACCAUGGCAUCCCUCUGGAGCUCAUCGAGAAGGUGAGGAGGGUGGGGAAGGAGUUCUUUGAUCUGCCCAUCGAGGAGAAGGAGAAGUAUGCGAAUGACCAGUCGACGGGGAAGAUCGCCGGCUACGGGAGCAAGCUGGCGAAUAAUGAGAGCGGGAGGCUGGAGUGGGAGGACUACUUCUUUCACCUUAUCUUUCCGCAUGACAAGGCCGAUAAGUCCGUUUGGCCCAAGCACCCUGCCGACUACGUGUAAGCCUCUCUUUAAAAUUCUGAGGAGUUUCCUAUGAAUUCUAGGAAGUAUUUUUUCUCUCUUGUUCGUCUUUAAAGAUUACCACGCCUCAGCUAAAUCGGAGGAUUCGAAGUCUCAAUCAGGUGGAAGGUUUUAAAUGAGAUUCGGAUCAUUUUCUAAAGCACACACCUUAGUGGGUCGCAUGAACCCUAGCUAGCCUUAACUGCCAUGGGUGAAACAUUAAGAUUCAAAUCUAUCUAGCUCUCUGACUCUGAUAUAAUUAAGCAUCAAAUGACUUCACCAGCAGGCUAAGCUGCCUGCCACCUUCAGUUGUACUAAUUUGCGUGCAUUAUAUUCAUGCUUCCUUCUUUUUUCUUUUCUUUUUUUGUUUGCGUACGUGGUUGUUCUCACUGUUUGUCAAACAUAUCUUUGAGGAAUAUCACUGCUGGUGCAGUGAGGUAAUGAAGGAGUUCGCCGAACGGCUUAGGGGGGUUGUGUCCAAGAUGCUGGUAAUGCUCUCCCUGGGUCUGGGACUGGAAGAGGGGAAGCUAGAGAAGGAACUGGGAGGCAUGGAGGACCUCCUGCUCCAGAUGAAGAUCAACUACUACCCCAAGUGCCCUCAGCCUGACCUCGCCCUGGGUGUGGAGGCCCACACCGAUGUGAGCUCCCUCUCCUUCAUCCUCCACAACAUGGUGCCCGGUCUGCAGGUCUACAAAGACAGCAAGUGGGUCACCGCCAAGUGCGUCCCCGACUCCAUGAUCGUCCACAUCGGCGACACCCUCGAGAUCCUCAGCAAUGGCACCUACAAGAGCAUCCUCCACCGGGGCCUCGUCAACAAGGAGAAGGUCCGGAUCUCUUGGGCGGUCUUCUGCGAGCCUCCCAAGGAGAAGAUCGUUCUCAAGCCACUUCCGGAGCUCGUCACCGACAAGACGCCCCCCAAGUUCCCCCCUCGCACCUUCGCUCAGCACCUCCAGUACAAGCUCUUCAAGAAGACUCAGGAGGACUUCGUUUCUCCUAAGUGAGACUGCACUGUGAUCUUUUCUCCGAAGUCCA